AAGCAAAGAUAAAAACGCAACGUAAGAGCAGUAUUCUUACAGAGCCGGUAGGUAGCCCGGCCGCACCGUCUGGUGUAAGUAACCCUCCCUCCUUAGGGUCGUCCGUUCUUUGUUCAU
rnacentral:ncRNA from 1 species